rnacentral:rRNA from 1 species
GGGGUAUUUAUCUUCGGAUAGAGAGACCGGCGCACGGGUGCGUAACGCGUAUGCAAUCUACCUUUUACAGAGGGAUAGCCCAGAGAAAUUUGGAUUAAUACCUCAUAGCAUUGCAGAAUGGCAUCAUUCAGCAAUUAAAGUCACAACGGUAAAAGAUGAGCAUGCGUCCCAUUAGCUAGUUGGUAAGGUAACGGCUUACCAAGGCUACGAUGGGUAGGGGUCCUGAGAGGGAGAUCCCCCACACUGGUACUGAGACACGGACCAGACUCCUACGGGAGGCAGCAGUGAGGAAUAUUGGACAAUGGGCGCAAGCCUGAUCCAGCCAUGCCGCGUGCAGGAUGACGGUCCUAUGGAUUGUAAACUGCUUUUAUACGAGAAGAAACACUCCUUCGUGAAGGAGCUUGACGGUAUCGUAAGAAUAAGGAUCGGCUAACUCCGUGCCAGCAGCCGCGGUAAUACGGAGGAUCCAAGCGUUAUCCGGAAUCAUUGGGUUUAAAGGGUCCGUAGGCGGUUUAAUAAGUCAGUGGUGAAAGCCCAUCGCUCAACGGUGGAACGGCCAUUGAUACUGUUAGACUUGAAUUAUUAGGAAGUAACUAGAAUAUGUAGUGUAGCGGUGAAAUGCUUAGAGAUUACAUGGAAUACCAAUUGCGAAGGCAGGUUACUACUAAUUGAUUGACGCUGAUGGACGAAAGCGUGGGUAGCGAACAGGAUUAGAUACCCUGGUAGUCCACGCCGUAAACGAUGGAUACUAGCUGUUGGGUGCAAACUCAGUGGCUAAGCGAAAGUGAUAAGUAUCCCACCUGGGGAGUACGUUCGCAAGAAUGAAACUCAAAGGAAUUGACGGGGGCCCGCACAAGCGGUGGAGCAUGUGGUUUAAUUCGAUGAUACGCGAGGA